UCCAACAGCCUCCCACUCUGCAUGGACCAGAUGAAUAUUUCAAAGGAAUCCUGGGAACCAGCUGACACAAUCUCACCACUGGAGUCCACAGCCAAACAAGAGAACUGACUUGGUCGCGGAGAAGUAAAGUUACUAUGUAUUGCCCAUCUGGAGAAUAAGCCAACGAAACCAUGCUGUUGAAAUGGCCCUGCUGCUUCAGCACGUAGGACUCGCUCUGCCAUUCCCACACCAGGAGCUGACCCAAACCUGUG
rnacentral:lncRNA from 1 species